rnacentral:rRNA from 1 species
CACGGAGGAGGCAAGCGUUAUCCGGAAUUAUUGGGCGUAAAGGGUACGUAGGCGGCUGUGCAAGUCUGGGGUUAAAGGGCACAGCUCAACCGUGGGAAGGCCCUGGAAACUAACCAGCUAGAGUGAGGUAGGGGAAGCGGGAAUUCCCGGUGUAGCGGUGAAAUGCGUAGAGAUCGGGAAGAACACCUGAGGCGGAAGCGCUCGGCUGGGCCUGAACUGACGCUGAGGUACGAAAGCUAGGGGAGCGAAUGGG